AGCCUUCAUCAGCACGGUUUUUCGGAAGAGACGAGAAAGACAGUCUAGUCAGCAUAUUUGGUGGCUGGACCAAAAGCCCGGCCCUGAGUUCCAAAAGCUGCCUUUUCCUGAUUCGGGGACAGGUCCUCCCACCCACCCAGGCCGAGAAGCCCUGACCUCCGGACCCCGCCCAGGUCGCCCCCUCCUUCCCGAAGCCCACCGCUUUCCCAGCAGGCCUUGCCCGGGGCCGCUCCCGCAGCGGCAGGGGCGGGGCGGUACCGCCGCCAGGACUCGGUUCCCACCCGCGGCCUUCGCGCACCCCAUCGCGGACCCUGCCCAACCCUUCCGGGACCCGGACCUCUCCAGGCCGUUUGCUCCCAGGCUUUCUCUCCGCUGUGACCUGCAGACCUGCAGACAGACGCCAGACAGGUCGCUGCCACUUUUGGAGCCUCCCUGGCUGCACAGCUGCUGCCGCAGCUGCUGCGGGGACCCAGAUCCCUCACAUUAUCCCCGGUAAACUCUGACUUUUCCGUGGGUGAUUGAAGAACUCCCUUGAAUCCACGUGUUUGCGCUGAUUGGUGCAUCACAGCUGUUCGGUGGUCUUCACUGUUGAGGUUUCUCAGGCCUCGGCCAUCAUAAAUUGUUCUGGAUGAGAAACUGGAAGUCAUAGCAGAUCUACCUAAUACAUGGACACAAACCCAAACAGGCAGACAAGAUGGAGAGACAAAAAAAGCACAAGCCCGCGGAAACCGGUUUGGCUCAG